AAGGGGUACUCCUGUAGAAAACUUAAUCUAAGUUCUCUGCAGUGCAAUUGCUGAGGUAAAGUUUUGGUGUGUGAAGGGGAGCUAUGAAGGCCAAGAGAAUUGAGGAUUUCAUUCUGUGACAGUUAGAAGGAAAUGAAGAAAUGAAGAAAAGAGGAGGAGAAUAUUCCAAAACAUCUAUAUCUAGCAUAGAGCCGAUAAAAAGGACCAUCAGCCAUGUGCACUCUGAGCUUACCUCCCUGCUGCACUGCAGCCGCUGCUGGGGACUGGGUACAGGCCCCCAGGGCUGGAGGGGCCCAUCUCAGGGGCCUGUGUGA
rnacentral:lncRNA from 1 species